rnacentral:lncRNA from 1 species
GGAUUCUGAAAUUAAUUCUCUCAUAGGUCAAAUGGCAACAAGAACUUCAUUGCUGGUAAUAAAUGAGGUGUUGAUUAUCCCCGGUGUGCUUUACUUCCACGUUUUUAAAGACACAACGGUGGAAAGUUAAAUGAGAAUCAGAUGUAAAGAAAUACAGAUUUAUGUAAUAGCUCUAUCACUUGAAAGCUAUGGGGGCAAGGUAUUUAUAAGGCGUGUGGAGGUGGCUCACCUGUUUUAACUAUACCAGAAGUCUUAAAGUAAAAGAACGGCAGGCUCAGUUCAGCCAACUAUUAUUAGCUCAGGACAUGCCGGAAAGUCAAGAAGGUCUUUCUUGCAGUUUUAGUUACCUGUAACUGUAGGAAAGAUAGCACUAAGAAGAAGGCCUAUGAUUUAAUCACUGGACUUAAGCAAAUGCAAACAAUAAUGAAGGCUCUGCUUUUGGAGGUUCCCUGACAUUAGAGAUACGCUAUUGAAUGAGUGGGAACCUGACAAGUUGCAUAAAUCACUUGGAAAUAUUGACCUGAGAAUAUGGCACUUCCGACGUUCCCGAUCUUUUUGAACUUUGAGAAGGAGCAUUGCCACUGUUGCUAGACACCAACUUCUCUUUGUAUGAGGACAACGUAAAGAAAUUAUCUAAGGUGAGAUAUCUCAUGAAACAAGUUUCAGAACUGGGGCUACUAAGUGACAUAAAAUAUAUUCUGUGUGAACACCUG